rnacentral:lncRNA from 1 species
AUGAAACAAAGGCAAAGCUUUAGUGGUGAGCAUGAGAUGGCAAGUCUUUUCUUCAUAAUCAUCAUAACAGAAAGCAACUGUACCCAUUAUCUACCCAGUAGGACCUUGACCUCUUUAAGAACCAGGGAUGAGUUGACAGGAAAGGAAAGUGGAGUGUAAACCAGUGCUUCAAAACCAGCAGCUGCCACAAACUGUAGUGACCUUUCAGUGUCCCGCCGACUUCCACUCUCUUGCUUCCAGCAGGAGUUAGAAUCUAACAUUUCUUUACAAUGACCUCUCUAACUUCUUGGACUCAAGGUGUAAGUUUGUUCCCAACAUACCAGACAGAGAGCAACUCUCACCAGAGAAGAUCCCAAUGUGUUUUAUGCUAGAUCUGACUUUAAUUAAGUGUAGACAAUGCUCCCAUCAGUGCUGGAACUGGCCCCGGUAACUUGCUUUAGCUGAUGGAAUGUUACCAAACACAACAUGAUCAAAGGCUUGAGAGAUGAUUUCCCUCCUGUGCUUCCGCAAUUACCAUGAAAAGAACAUGGCCUGGUGGUCCCUGAUCCCCAAAGAAUGACGGACACCUGGAAAAAGCUUGGAGUAACAGAUUCAUG